UACGGGGGGGGCAAGCGUUGUUCGGAAUUACUGGGCGUAAAGGGCUCGUAGGCGGCCAACUAAGUCGGACGUGAAAUCCCCAGGCUCAACCUGGGAACUGCGUCUGAUACUGGAUGGCUUGAAUCCGGGAGAGGGAUGCAGAAUUCCAGGUGUAGCGGUGAAAUGCGUAGAUAUCUGGAGGAACACCGGUGGCGAAGGCGGCAUCCUGGACCGGUAUUGACGCUGAGGCGCGAAAGCCAGGGGAGCAAACGGG
rnacentral:rRNA from 1 species